CUCUUCAGCAGAGGCUGCUCUCCCUCCUGAACCUCCCCAGCCCAAAGCCAUAAACAAGCCCACCACUGGGACCACUGCCUUCUUCAGGACUUUGAGCCACGUCCUUUUGGACAGGACAACUGUAACAUUAACUGAACGCUACAAACUGAUACAGUGCUGAGAGGAGGAUGGAAAUCCUCAGGUAGUUCACCCGAGAAGGCGAUUUCCUGAAAAGGGCCAUGCAUGUGGCUGUUUCCAGUCCUGGGUUAUCCAGCGAGGAUGCCUGUUUGGUGAUUAACAGCAUUUCUCCAAGUGUGCUCCUUGGAGCCUUGGCUUCACACCAUGCCAAAAGGUGUUUUAUGAGAAAGUGAUCCCGAGGUCAUUUGGGAAAUACUUGAUUAAGAAAUGUUGAAUACAUUUCCUGGGUUUGGGACUUCUCAGAACCUUUCAUAUGUGAACGGGCACUGGAAAUUUCCAGAAGGAGAAUACAGCACCCAGAGUGGUCCAGACUCUCCCCAUUGCAAGAGUAAGAUAACCUGGCCUGCCUCAUAUGGCAGGUGCUUGGACAGCAGGCCCUGAAAUGAGGAUGGUGGCGGCUGUGCUUCGUCUGAAUCUCCACUCUAUUCAACUGGCAGUGGCUGCUUUGAGAAAGGUGUUAACAAGACUUCAUAUCAUGCAUUGGUUCAUGAGGAAAGAAUGAAGUGAUAGAUUAGUGAUGUCUGCCCUGAUCGUGGGAGAAGACUGUAGGCAUAUGUGCCUUUAUUUGUCAAUCCUGUCACAGGCUGACAAGUCUGGAGACAUCAGCUGGAGAAUUGGCAUCCAACUCUAUCUUCCUCUGUGUAGCUGCCCACCUGGAAGGCUGCUGUGUGGCUUGGCAGAACCAGUUCCCAAAUUCCAAACUGCUCAGGUCCCUGUGGGGCUCCCAGUGCAGGCCAUACCAAAGAGAACUCCCCAGCACUACCCAGGCCUGACCCAGUCCUUUCCUCAACUCAAAAUUCCCUAAUCAUAUGGGCACUAAAGCAGGUUUCUAACCCAGAACUUUCUUGGGCAGGGAUCCUCCACAGAAGACUAAGCAGCUUCAGAUCCCUGCUAAUAGACCAAG